CUGCUGCUUCUGUCACUCUCUCUUCCUUCCCAGAACUUCUUUUUCUCUCAAACACAACUUCCACCCUUCUCAGUUCCUCUUACUUUUUUUUUCUACACAUCAAUCCUCAUUUCUCAGUUCUCACUUGUGUGACUUCAUACUCAUUCUAUUCUUUAUUAAUUAAACAAAUUUAUCCAAUUUGCUUGAUCUAGAUCUAAUUACAAAAUAAAUAGAAUUUAAAAGCAUAAAGAAACUCAUUAUAACUUGUUUUGAAACCAUAUCUGCAUCGAUUGUGGUCUUACUACAGUAACCCAAUCCUACCGGUACAUUUUGCAGAGGGUGGGAAAUCGAAGAACAUGAAAGGGUAAAGGGUUCAAAAGAAAUAAAAAUGGACUGGGAAAACGAAGGCACACCUGUGCUCACGAAAACGACAGGAGGGAUAAGAUGAGCGGCCGGAACUGAGCGGCCGGAAUAAGGUAAGCGGUGGGUGUGGUCUAUGUGUGAUGUUUUAAUCAUUCUUUAAGAGUUGUGUUAUUUGAACAACAAUUUAGGUGACAACUUUUGGGACAACAAUAAAUUUACA
rnacentral:lncRNA from 1 species